rnacentral:lncRNA from 1 species
AUAUAUAGUACAGCUAUGGUGCUUGUAAAAGCACCAAUCACUUGGUGCUUGUAAGUUUUUUAUCGUUAGAUUUACUCCACGGAUCAUUUUCAACCAUUAGAUUAUACUAUUUAACCAACCACCCACUCAACCCUAUGGGGCCCGCAUCAUCCUAACCGCAUAUCUCUUAAUCCAAUGGCUAAAAAUCUACAAGUACCAAUGUCUUGGUGCUUUUAAAAGCAUAGGCGCUCAAU